rnacentral:rRNA from 1 species
ACGGGAGGCAGCAGUGGGGAAUAUUGGACAAUGGGCGCAAGCCUGAUCCAGCAAUGCCGCGUGUGUGAAGAAGGUCUUCGGAUUGUAAAGCACUUUCGACGGGGACGAUGAUGACGGUACCCGUAGAAGAAGCCCCGGCUAACUUCGUGCCAGCAGCCGCGGUAAUACGAAGGGGGCUAGCGUUGCUCGGAAUGACUGGGCGUAAAGGGCGCGUAGGCGGUAUGGACAGUCAGAUGUGAAAUUCCUGGGCUUAACCUGGGGGCUGCAUUUGAUACGUCCAAACUAGAGUGUGAGAGAGGGUUGCGGAAUUCCCAGUGUAGAGGUGAAAUUCGUAGAUAUUGGGAAGAACACCGGUGGCGAAGGCGGCAACCUGGCUCAUAACUGACGCUGAGGCGCGAAAGCGUGGGGAGCAAACAGGAUUAGAUACCCUGGUAGUCCACGCUGUAAACGAUGUGUGCUGGAUGUUGGGUGACUUAGUCAUUCAGUGUCGUAGUUAACGCGAUAAGCACACCGCCUGGGGAGUACG